GAAUGCUGACAUAAGUAACGAUAAUGCGGGUGAAAAACCCGCACGCCGGAAGACCAAGGGUUCCUGUCCAACGUUAAUCGGGGCAGGGUGAGUCGACCCCUAAGGCGAGGCCGAAAGGCGUAGUCGAUGGGAAACAGGUUAAUAUUCCUGUACUUGGUGUUACUGCGAAGGGGGGACGGAGAAGGCUAUGUUAGCCGGGCGACGGUUGUCCCGGUUUAAGCAUGUAGGCGGAGGUUCCAGGUAAAUCCGGUACCUUUUUAACGCUGAGGUGUGAUGACGAGGCACUACGGUGCUGAAGUAACAAAUGCCCUGCUUCCAGGAAAA
rnacentral:rRNA from 1 species